CGUCCCUACGGGACGCAGCAGUCGGGAAUAUUGCGCAAUGGAGGAAACUCUGACGCAGUGACGCCGCGUAUAGGAAGAAGGUUUUCGGAUUGUAAACUAUUGUCGUUAGGGAAGAUAAAAGACUGUACCUAAGGAGGAAGCCCCGGCUAACUAUGUGCCAGCAGCCGCGGUAAUACAUAGGGGGCAAGCGUUAUCCGGAUUUACUGGGUGUAAAGGGAGCGUAGACGGAAUUGCAAGUCUGAUGUGAAAAUCCGGGGCCCAACCCCGGAACUGCAUUGGAAACUGUAUUUCUAGAGUGUCGGAGG
rnacentral:rRNA from 1 species